rnacentral:rRNA from 1 species
UCUUGACAUCCCGAUGCUAUUUCUAGAGAUAGAAGUUACUUCGGUACAUCGGUGACAGGUGGUGCAUGGUUGUCGUCAGCUCGUGUCGUGAGAUGUUGGGUUAAGUCCCGCAACGAGCGCAACCCCUAUUGUUAGUUGCCAUCAUUCAGUUGGGCACUCUAGCGAGACUGCCGGUAAUAAACCGGAGGAAGGUGGGGAUGACGUCAAAUCAUCAUGCCCCUUAUGACCUGGGCUACACACGUGCUACAAUGGUUGGUACAACGAGUUGCGAGUCGGUGACGGCGAGCUAAUCUCUUAAAGCCAAUCUCAGUUCGGAUUGUAGGCUGCAACUCGCCUACAUGAAGUCGGAAUCGCUAGUAAUCGCGGAUCAGCACGCCGCGGUGAAUACGUUCCCGGGCCUU